UUGAGACUGUUCUUCAAACUCAGGUAUGUCCAAUAUUAUUUUUCUCUUUAUGUCGUGUUUGAUUGAAAUUGCGAAGAAAAACAAUGGUAAUUCAUGCUUCAAUUUUGACCUGAGGAAUGUGAAGUUUAUUUUGUUGAUAAGUUUAUUUAAUUAUAUUGGUUUUGGUUAAUAUCUAGUUGUAACAAAAUCUGAGAAUUUUUGGAGCAUUUUAUGAGGCAAUUAGAGCUGGUAAAGAUUGACCUUCGUUUCUUCAUCACAGUUAUCGUUGUUGGGCGUUCUAUCGUGUUCGGGGCAUUUGCUUUCUAUUAUUCAUUUAUAAUGUUCUUCUGAAUAUGAGUACUCUUCUGUUUUCCUGCGAGAGCAGUUACUUCUUAUGCUUUAUGCAACUGCAAACGCAAGCAAGGUAUUUCUUAUAUCUGAAGUGAUGACAGAACUGAUAUCGAUAGUUUUCUCUCAGGAACCUGUAAUAAGACCAG
rnacentral:misc_RNA from 1 species